CUACCAGGCUCCUCCGUCCAUGGGAUUUUCCAGGCAAGAGUACUGGAGUGGUAAAUCUUUCGCCUUUUACUAAAGAUUUCCGUGGAGAGGAACAAUUCUGAGUUUUUACUCAAUUUUUUGAGGCCUUGCUUUUGCAAGGCU
ensembl:snRNA U5 U5 spliceosomal RNA